AGGCCCAGGCCUCCUGUUGGCCCUUGCGUUUCAUGGUGGUCCCCCUCAUUCCGGCCUGCAGUUUGCCCUCCCUGGCUGCAACAUCGCCCGGUCUUCUGGGUAUCUUUCUAAGCUGUUAGGUUCCAUUGAAAUGUGUCCUUCUGUACUUUAUUGUGACCAGAGUCCCUUGAAAAAAUUCAGGGCAGAUUUUCAAAUGGCUAGAAGUCAUUACUCAGGGAAGCACAGAAGGGGUUAAGGAGGGAACUCAAGAAUCCAGCACAGGUUAGAAAUACUCUGUUCCUUAGCUUCAAAAUAGGAAGAGCUCAAUUUGAAUUAGGUCGGGAGAGAAACCGAAGGAAAAGCCCUCUGUCUGGAAUCCAGAAAAGGCAUUCACAAGACAUCUGAAUGUGUUAUCUUUUUUUCCUACACUGAAAGUCAAUACCUUAGAAACCGUGAAUGCUGGGAAAACUCACUGAGGAUAUACAGACGGACAGCUAAGGACCUCUCAGGGUUCCUUUCAUCCUGCGGGUUUUAGGGGCUCCCAUCACAGCAGGUCUGAAUCUAAGAGAACCCCCAGGCUGGGCUACACGCUAAGGAAGAAGUAAUCGGUUGGUGAGUAGGGCCUCUGACUGUGCUUUGGCUCUGGUAUUUCUUGAAGCCUUGUCACAAACUCAGUUAGAGCAUCACGAGCCUGGCCUACUGAGUGGUCCCAGUGCUGGCCUCCCCUUGACGGACGUGUGGCUCCCUUGCCUCUCCCAGCCAUAAAACAGGCCAGUUGUGUUUUCCUCGGGGGACUGUGACCCACAGGGACAGUCUAGCGUGGUGCUCAGCACAAAGUCCAAAGCUGUCUCCAAGACACAGCUGUGACCAGGGCUGCAUCACUGCCUACCCCCAGCACGGUUAGUCCUUCUGGGUAAUGGAGAGGCCUUUUGCUGCAGAAAAGCUUCACAGAACUGUGCCCGUGAGAUCACGAGACCCUCACCCCAACAGCAUGCUGGCACCCAGCCCACAGCAGCCCUUCUCAUGGUGCCUUGUGCCUGCGGUCCCAGAGCCAAAGACUCCGGAGGCUUGGGGCUAAGGUUGUGUAUUUUUGCAAGCAGGCCAGGCGACUGUGGCACACCUGUGGGUUUGAGAGUUUUGGAGCGGAAGAAUGCCUCUUCUGGAUGUGAGGCAGCUUGGAGGAUGCAGUUUUUAUAGCGCUCACAGAGGCUGUACUCACCUGCAACCAUCUUGCCUGCCCCACUCGCCUGGACCUGCCACUCUCUCGCAAGGGCCGCUUGUCUCGGAGCCAGAAUCGCCAGCUCCAGCCCACCCAUCUCGAGGGAGAGAAGGGGCUCUGGGGCUCAGUGAUGGUUUUCACAGGAGACUUCAUGAGUGGAGCUGCCCUUGUUGGGAAGCAGCUUCCCCUGCGAUUUGGGGCAUGUGCCAUGGACUUUGAACUUGGGGCUCCCACUUGAAACCACAACUUUUCCCCAGCCAUGGCCUCUGCCGUGUCCUAUAACUCAGUCUUAGUGGCUCUAGAGGAUGUCUUCCUGUCUUCUUGAGGGGUCCCCUGGGGGUCCCCAAAUCAAUUGGCUGUGUGCCCCCUGGCCACUGAGCCUGCAACACUCUGCCCAGAGCUAUGGCUCUGGCUCAGACCUCCCUGGCAGGGUGGACGAAGCUCCAUCACCAUGCAGGUGGCCAGCCCUCACUGCACGAUGAGGCAAUUUUGCUGCCGCCUUGCUGGACACAUCCCUGGGAAGGUCACAGGCACUUGGGCCUCAGUGUCUCCAUCUGAAAAAGGAAAGCAUUCCACAACAUGUGGCCAAACUAAACUUCUGGCUCGGAUCUUCCCACAUUCUUUGGUUUGUUUAUCCUCAGAAUUCUAACAUCCCUGCUUCAGCUCACAUCCAGCUACGCUCUCGAUCAUGCCAGGAGAUGCCCCCAGAUCUCUGCUUCUGCUCACCUCCCAUUGAUUGCAGAAACAUCUGCUUGGACUCCAUGUCUUUCUCUAUCCCCUCGUGUAGUGAUGUGGAAUCAGGAGUAGCCAAGCAGCUAAUGGCAAGCCAGAAGGAUGGGCAUCCCCUCUCCCUGACCGGGGUCUGCAGAAGGGAAGGCCAAAGUGUGGGUUUAGACCUCAGCAUGUUGGGGAGGUGGUGCUGGGGGUGGUGGCGGGCAGGGGAGAUGGGAAGGAUGGCAAGUUUCAGAGCGAUCUCCAGAUGGAAUGAGAAGGCUCCCUGGGUUCAACCCUGGCCCCACCUCAGCUGGCCAGGUGUUCUUGGGCAGGUUCUUUAACUGCUCUUUGCCUGAGUGGCCUCUGUAAAAUGGGAAUAGUAAUAAUAAUAAUAAUAAUAAUAUACACACCUACCUCACGGGGUUGCCUUGAGGAUGAAAUCAGUCAAUACUCAGAAAGCCCCAAGACUACAACCUGGCACAGAGCAAGCAUUUGAAAAACAUGAGCCGCCACCACCACCCUCUUUGGGAUUAACCAGACUGGAGAACUGCUGACUGUUUUGAGGUCUGGGGACAGGUCCCUGUUCUUCCCAGGCCCUGGGGCCAGACAUCCAGGUAGGUGGUAGAGCUAUUCACGGGGAUCAGGAAAACAGAAACUGGAAGCUCAUAAGGGAAAGGAAGUCCACCCGUUCUUUUUUGGUGGAGGCCAGGAGCGAUGCCUUGCUCCAGUUCCAUUGUACCCACCUGGGCCUGUGGGUGGCCGUCACAGCACCCCACAACCCCCGCAGCCUGGCCCGGUGGCUUCUGCAGGGAUUGCUGUCUGUUGUCUUUGAAUCACACUGCUGGAGAGUAGUUUGCAUAGAUUCCCAAGUUUGUAAUUAAAACAACCGAGAAACAAUUUUCACUAUAUAUAUAUUAAAAAAAGAAAAACAAGAGCUAAACAGAAAGUCUCUUUUAAGCAGAUGUUGUGCUGUGAGCCAUGUAGAAAAAUUAUUUUAUCAUCAACCAAGCCUGCGUAUCUCAAGGCCUGAAAGAAACUAAGGGGAUGUCUUUUCUACUAACCCAGCAUUUUUUAGCUCCUAAUAUCAUUUCACAUUUAAAGGUGACAGCAAUAUCUUUAACGUUUUUCUAUUGGAUUAAUAACAUUUAAUGUUCAAAGCCAUAAAGCGAAAUGUUUUCGUGAGGGUGCUUUACAUCACUAAUAGAAAAUCCAAGUUAAAAAAAAAAGACCACACAUACCAUGUAAUAGACGUGGAGAGCUGUAAACCCAAAAAGGGAACCCAGGCGUGGAGGUGGGAGCCUGGGCAUAGAGGUGGGUUCCCUGGGUGGAUGGGCAGGUGGGUGCCCAAGGCCCUGAGCCCUGACUGGCCAGCCAGAGCCAGGAGGGGGUGGGUGCUUGUGGGGGUGAGAACACACCCACCCACCAGCCAUUCAUCUCCACCCAGCAGCGGAAUAUGACAAUGUUAGCAUUUUUCAUUUCCCUGACGUUACCAUUAAUAAAGCAAUGAUCCAAAAGAGGCUUCGCUGAGUCUGUGCUUUAUGCUCCCAUCACUCACGACUAGAUAAUUUCACACAGGAUCGUUUUAAAAUUAAAUGACGAUAAAAACGCUCUGCUGUUCUGUGUUCACCAGUUCAUAGAAGUCUAUCAAGUCAUUAAUGUGUCAUGACAAACUGCUCGAUGGAUACAAGAGUAAUUAAUUAUUUGAAUAAAUAACAAGUUGAACUUGGAGCUUUGAACCACAAUGACAUACGCAUCCCAUUAGGGGCGUCUUGGAGCCUCCGCAGGGCACCGGUAUGAAGAGUUAAAAUGCAGGCCAGGGUAUUGGAAGUGAUGAAAACCAAUUUCGUAAACACAGGGUAACAUUUUACAGGGAGAAAGCCGAAGUGUCACAUUUCUGUGCCCACAUGAGGUUCAGUGUUAAAAGUUCCCUGCCAGCGGCCAUUUCAAGAUGCCACUUGAUCAGAGAUGAUUUCAGAGAACAAUUAUACAGAUUUUCAUAAUCACCAUUAAUCUCUGCAUAUUUUUCAAGAUAAUUACAGCAAUUAUUAUUUAGAUUUCUCUUUUAUAUGCCCAUUGUAGAAAGGAACAAGUGCUUAUUAUACUGGAUAGUUGAGAGAACCUUGGAUGAGAAUUCUUUGUCAUCUCUGCACUCAUUACUUCAACCCGCGUUGCCUCUGAAAGUUCAUCAGCUCCAGAAAUUAGAAUAAUACCAGCAGCUCUGUUAUUAAAUCUUAAGGUUGAGCCGAGACCGUGGUUAGAGUGGCUGGCUGAAUUGUUCAUUUGUGGGACUGCCGAGCUCAGGUGGAAUUACUGUCAGGUGGCAGGAGAUGCCCCUGACAGGUACAGGCAGAGAUGGGUGGCUGCCUCACACCCAUUUUCCCUGAUAGGCUUACUGAGUGAACUCACAACCAAUAUUUAGAGGAUACAUUUUCGUGACAUGCCCUUUAAAGGUUAAUAUUAAAUCUUAAAUCUGCAUAAUUUAUGGCAUUCCACCUCAUAGACACAGCGACCAGACAGAAGGCAGCACAACACUUUCCUUGAUAUUUCCAAAUCAAAGUGCUUGUCAGCUCGGGCAUCAGCUCCAUCUCAAGGUGCACCUGCUGCCUUAUCCCGCUGUGGUCCUGCAAGCUGGUCCAUUGGAGUUGAGUCCUGGGCCGGUGGGUAUGUUGUGUGAUGCUUUCAAGAGAAGCCCUUUCCCGGGGAAAUGGUUCUUAACAGUCCUGCUGGUUGGAAGUGCACCUCUGGCUAGGUUGGUGUGUGUCCUCCUGCACCCCGUCCCCACAAGAGGCGUGGGUUCUAAGAGCUCCCAUGCUCUCACAUACACCAUGAGGACCGUCAGCUGCAUCCAGCUCGGCUAGAUGCCAUGAGUCGCUAUGUGAGGGGUAGGAAAGCCAGGUAUUCAGUUUUGAACUGAGAAGUCCAGUAUUUCUGCUUGCUAUAAAAUGAGAAAAAUACAAGGCAUAGAAAUGCCUUUUUCCUCCAUAAAUUGUUUUAUUAUAAAUAGAUGUACUGAUUCAAAUGUACUCAAGCAGUACCAACUCACACAAGGUAGAAGUGGGGUUUAGAUGGCUGCUGACGCUCUGUGACAGGUCCCUCUUUAUUGGUCUGACCCUGGCCACCAUGGUGACUCAUCUUUUGGAAUCACCUGGUGACUCUAGGGAGGAAGAAGCCUGGGGCCCUCUCAGCAGCCUCUCCCAGGUGGCCACCCCCCGAGGGGUCACCCCCAGCCUGAGCUCCGAAGCUUCCAUCCCUGAUUCUCUGGGUUCUCUUGAGGGUCCUCAGGUUCUGGGGAACUUGGUCCCCCUAAUCAAGGUCAGAAGAUCCCUGUGCUGUGGUACCAGAUGUCAUAUUUUAGACCAUUCUUUUUAACCUGUAGGGAGUCUUUUUGAAAUCUUAAGUAAAAUUUGUAUCAAGAUUAUAGCUUUCCAGUUUAUGCAAUACUCAAGCCUACUGUCUUCACUCCAGUACUUGGGCAGAUAAAUGAAGGAUUAAAUCAUGGAAUCCAAGCAAGGAGUUGGAAUGUUCCUCUUUCAUAGAGUCCUAGAGAAUCCCCAUUGUGAAGCAGUUUCUUCUGGGCACAUGACUUUAUUCACUCAUCUGUCCAUCACCUCGUCCAGGCCUUAACUACCAAGAGUCCCCCUGAGCUACAGGCACUGGGCCAACAGGGACCAUGGUUCCCUCAUGGAGCUCAUGAGCAGGGGAAGACAUCCGGUCAGAUGAUUGGAGCACAGUCAUCCUGGGAGCACAAACCAUCCACUCUGAUGUGUGGUAGCUCAGGAGGCAGCCCAGGGGGUAACGUUUCUGCCCUUUGAGGAGUUCACAAGCGGGUAAAUAGGAAAGGGCUCCCCAGGAUGAGCCUACAGCAAGGAGAAAGGCCCAUCACCAGCAGAAGGCUGGACUCAGCAGGAAGUGGAUAGCAGGCCAGGGUAACUACAGCCCGAAGUGUAGGGAGCAGAGUGGUGGGGAGGACAGAGCAGCUAGGGAACAAUGCAAGGUUGGGAUCAACCUGGAAGGGCCUGGACCAUGGCAUUUGACAUCAUCCUAUAAGCUUUAGGAAACCACUGAAGUUUUUAAGUAAAGGAAUGGCACACAAGGUCUGCACUUGAAAGAGAACUCUGGCAAUACUGAGGUGGGAAUAUUUGUCUUGGCCAUGAAUGGCGCCUGCUGGGAGAGAGCCCCAAGGACACUCCCUAACAUCCCUUAACUCCGUGGAGCUUGCCUUCACUUUCUCACCCUUCUUGAUUGUAUGUUCUCCGCUUCCAUCUUUAGAUGACUUCUUCAGGUCACUUGUGAAGGUGUUACCCUCUCUUCCUUCACAUGGUGGAAGGCAGUGGAUUUAGGAGAUCACCAUGUUUGCCCAGCUCUGCCCUAGACCAGCUUUGUGGCCCUGACAAGUCCCUUCCCUUCUGGGCUUCAGGCUCAUUCUGGGGGGUGUGGGAAUGCCAGUGCCAGGGCCAUGGUGAAGUUUAAAUGAGAACACCUGUAACUCCUGCUGCGCUUUGCUUCCUUUAGACAGAUGCUCUCUUGUGCUUGUAUUGGCUUCAGACACCCAGAGCAUCCAAGACGCCUUCUCUCUUCUUGCCCCUUGGUUCCAGGGGAGGAAAGGGAAGCCCCAGGAUAUACUUUUACCUUUGCAGACCAUUUUUGAGAAGACUUUAUGAGUAGAAUCUGGAUGAGGGCCACAGAAAUCAGCUGUCAUUUAGGAUGAGCCUAGCUUGGGUUUCAUACAUUGAUCCUCUGGGGUUUAAAUCCAGGUUCUCAGGUCACCAAUGCGUAUUUAAUACUUGGGGUGACUUAGCAUUUGUGAGAAUGAAGACUGUCAGAGCUGGAUUUUAAACAUCAUCUAGCCCAGGGCUUCUCAAACCUAGUUGCACAUUAGAAUCACCUGGGAGCUUUGAAAAAAUGCUGAUCCCCAGAGCCCACCCCUCAGACCAAUUGAAUCAGAACCCCUGGGGUUGGGGUUGGCAGGCAGCGAUAAUGUUUUCAAAUUCACCAGAUGAGCACCAGGAUGAGUCACUGAUCUAGCCCAACCCUUUUGCUCUUAGAUGGGGACACCGAGACUUGAUUGGCCCGUAGCUGGGAACCCUGAUGCCAAGGCCAGUUCUCUUCCCAUUGUUACUUAUUCAGUAGGUUUCUUUGGAGGCCGUUAUAUGCUGGGCACUGUUCUAGGAGCUGGGGGUGCAGCCAUCUUGGAGCUUACCCUCUAAAUGCACGAGUGGCCUCCAGAUUAGUAGGGGCUGGGGGUGGGGGGAGCACACUGAGGUUGGGUCCUUCCAGCAGUGGGUCAAGAAAGUCUUUCUCAGCCUCUGCACAUCAUCGGAUGGUAAUGAUAAUAAUAGCUAAUACCCACUGAACAUUUAUUUUAUAUUCGCUAUCUUUCUGAAUCCUUGCAUCUCCCCUAGAAUAAUUAGCCCCAUUCCAGAGACUUAAUAGGUGUGUUUCAUGGGUGCAGAGCUAGUGCCUGGUGGGCCUGGCAUUUGAACCUAGGACUGUCUGAUACCAAAGCCCUUUCUCUUAACUCACUUUAUUCUAAGACAGAAAGUAUACAAAGA